rnacentral:rRNA from 1 species
AGUGAACGCUGGCGGUAGGCCUAACACAUGCAAGUCGAACGGCAGCACAGUAAGAGCUUGCUCUUACGGGUGGCGAGUGGCGGACGGGUGAGGAAUACAUCGGAAUCUACUUUUUCGUGGGGGAUAACGUAGGGAAACUUACGCUAAUACCGCAUACGACCUACGGGUGAAAGCAGGGGAUCUUCGGACCUUUCGCGAUUGAAUGAGCCGAUGUCGGAUUAGCUAGUUGGCGGGGUAAAGGCCCACCAAGGCGACGAUCCGUAGCUGGUCUGAGAGGAUGAUCAGCCACACUGGAACUGAGACACGGUCCAGACUCCUACGGGAGGCAGCAGUGGGGAAUAUUGGACAAUGGGCGAAAGCCUGAUCCAGCCAUACCGCGUGGGUGAAGAAGGCCUUCGGGUUGUAAAGCCCUUUUGUUGGGAAAGAAAAGAAGCAGGUUAAUACCCCGCUGUUCUGACGGUACCCAAAGAAUAAGCACCGGCUAACUUCGUG